rnacentral:lncRNA from 1 species
GAUUAUUCAUUUUUUUUUUUUAAAGGCGAUUUUUAUAAAAUAAAAUUAAAAAAGUACAAAGGAUAAAAAAAUAAUGAUGAUAAACGAAAAAAACUGAAAACAUAGUGUGAAUCUCCAUCAUGUUGAUCUAUGACCAACUUCGGAUCGUGUUUCCAGGUUGAAAUAACUCCCGCCUGAAACUUUUAGAACCUUUAAAGAGUUUCAAUACGUGUCUUCACUUGUCUUCAUCUUUUUCCAUUCCUGCAACUGUCGUCUUUUUUCAUCCCUGCAACUGUCAUCUUUUUCUUCAAUCACCUUUUCCAUCUAGUAACCCAUCAUAUUUUCUCUUUCAUUUCCUAGAUUGCAUUUGUCAUCCGACGAUAUAACCUCCUGAUUUCCCUUCUAGAUUAAAUCCCUAGUUUUCCAUCCUCAAACGGGAAGAAAAUUAGUUAAAUCUGAAAGUAACUCAAAACGAAAUCGAAAAAGCUUCUUGAUCUGCGGGCGAGGCCAUACAGCGAUAAGGAAAAGUGGCGAGAAGCUCUCUUCCCCUUCUCUGAACCCGAAAAGGAGCAACGGAAUCACGACCAUAAAAGAAAUAAAAAAAAAUCGAAUAAGUUUCAGGAGGCAAAAAGAAGUGGAGAGAUAGGGAGUUGCGGGUGAGGAUCUAAGACGACGGGGAGAGAGAACGGUGGAGAAAGACAUGAAAGGAAGAAGAGAGAAAAAACUUGUCUCCCCCCUCUCUUUUGAGAAAGGGGGGAGAUUAUUCAUUCUUAACGUGCUUAACGGCAUCUAAUUAAACACCAAACACGGAAAC